rnacentral:lncRNA from 1 species
UUUCAACCGUUUUGUUGGCUUUGGCUCUCACAGCUAGGACCGACUUAGAAAGAUAACGGUCAAAAAAUGAAUUUUUCUAACCUAAAAAAUCGGCUCUAAACAGAAUCUACAUUAAGUAAUUUUCCAAUUAUCCAAAAAUUGAAUUUCUAUAAAUACUAUUCCCACAUGGAGUUACAUGUUAGCAUUAACAAUAACCACCGAGAAAAGAUAUUGCCAAGAACAACAAUGAACUGCAGAUACGAAAAACCAGAGUCCAGGCUGCGAAAAUAUACACAAUUAUUCACCAUUGUCUUGAAUCCCAACAAAAGAUUAUGUACAAGAUAGAUACCCAUGUCCAAGUAACGAUACUUCAAAAUAAAUGAAAUCCUAGUUUUCAGAUCUGCGCUGUCUGAACAAUAUCGGGAACCAAGAAACAGCAUAUCUUGCUCUCAGAUGGAGUAGCUUAGUAAGUUAAAGACGCAAUGGGGGUUUAAGGUAAAUAGCAACUCUAAGAAUCAAAUAAGCUAAUUAAACUUUGCAGGCAAGUUGAGAUCAAAUGGGCUGCCCUCAAAACUUCCUUUUCUCGCACGCUUUCGUGAUGAGUGAUUGAUCUCGUCUGAUGUUCCAGAUGCUGAUGGUAAAUCUGAUUCUAUUAUACACCCUACAAAAUGAUACAUGACAACAUGAGCAUAUAUACAUGGACACUGUAUAAAUCCAAGUCCACUACAAUAUUUCUUGAAGAAAAUAAUAGAUUUAAUGUUCAAGUCAUCGUUGAUCCUAUAAUUCAACAAAUCACUCAGGUAAGCCCUGGGGAAUGCCUGCUAUCACAGAACAGAUUCUUAAGAGUAUCCCAUUAGCCAGAUUGAUCAAAAUUUGCGCAAGGUGAUUAAUCAUUUGACGAGCAGGGAAACUCUAUGAAUGGAACAAAUUGAACUAAUAGAUUCAAUUCAUCACAUAUAUCAGACGAUUUCAAAAGAAAGAAAUUUACAAAUUUGAAAGCAUGUUUUUAAGCGUUUCAGGUAGCAUUACAAACCAAAAACAAAUGGAAAACUACAUGCUGAGCGAGUAAAGAUCUGAUACGAAACUGUAAAUUUUUGAGAAUUCUCAAUAUGCUGCACUAAUAAGCUUUUAGUUUUAGCUUUAGCUUUCUUGCUUUUUUACUACUGCUAACAAUACACAAUUAGAAUGCUAACUUCCACAAAAGAGAAAAUUAGGAAAAAAUUAAAAAUUCAAGGAAUCAGUAUCAACUGAGGAAAACUAAACCCCUAGCACAUUGCAAAUUCGUGCAGCAGUUCAGGUGCAUAAUAAGCUGCCACUUCAGUGUCUAGAUCAUUUUCAUCAAAAAAUUAAUAAAUAUCUUUACACGAGUAAGAUUGACAUGAAAAUUUUAAUUUAAAACAGCAUAUUACUCAAGAAUGUCCUUUUUACUUGAGGUUUUUUUGACAAAUCUUAUAAAAGUUUUAGCAAUUUUUGAUACAAGUUGAUGUAAUGUGUGGUUGAGAAGUUUAUAAAAAGUAGAGGCCAUGAAAUUUGGGGCUAAAAUUGAAAUUUGACAAAAUUUAAAAAAGUUUUAUCAAAUAAGCACUUAAUAAAAGAAUUCAAAGUAGAGGAAUCUUAAUGUUUUUAGAAAAUAGCCAUAGCAUCAUGUAAAGUUNNN